rnacentral:rRNA from 1 species
AUUGAACGCUGGCGGCAGGCCUAACACAUGCCAGUCGAGCGGAUGAAGGGAGCUUGCUCCUGGAUUCAGCGGCGGACGGGUGAGUAAUGCCUAGGAAUCUGCCUGGUAGUGGGGGAUAACGUCCGGAAACGGGCGCUAAUACCGCAUACGUCCUGAGGGAGAAAGUGGGGGAUCUUCGGACCUCACGCUAUCAGAUGAGCCUAGGUCGGAUUAGCUAGUUGGUGGGGUAAAGGCCUACCAAGGCGACGAUCCGUAACUGGUCUGAGAGGAUGAUCAGUCACACUGUAACUGAGACACGGUCCAGACUCCUACGGGGGGCAGCAGUGGGGAAUAUUGGACAAUGGGCGAAAGCCUGAUCCAGCCAUGCCGCGUGUGUGAAGAAGGUCUUCGGAUUGUAAAGCACUUUAAGUUGGGAGGAAGGGCAGUAAGUUAAUACCUUGCUGUUUUGACGUUACCAACAGAAUAAGCACCGGCUAACUUCGUG